AGAAUUGAGUGGAACUGUUGUCUUAGUAACACACUCGGAGAAGGAAAGCAUUCCAGGAAGCUGGCAUGCAGUCACCACAACAUCUGCACACCGAGGCAGGUUGGUGAGCCCUGUGUAAGCACCUGGAAAUAGCUGGCACAGAUUGCGAUGGAACUGAGCUAGCACCGGACUAAACAGACCAAAAAAAAGAGCACCGGAUCAGACGCCGCCUUCAGUUGCUCUACAAGAACAGAAAAGUUAUUCUAGGAACAACAUUUGGCCCAUUGCAACUUCUGAAUGUAAAACAAUUUACUGCAAUGGAAAGGAUUUUAUUUGAAUUUGGCCUGCUUGGUUUCCCUGACCCCCGUUGUGGUGGUUUUCCUCAUGGGCAGUUCGGUGAGAUGGAGAAAACGCCAUUUUAAAAUACGCCUCAUCUGCAAAUGUCCUUUAGGAGCUCUCACCCAAAAGCAUCCCACUGGUUUUCAGUGCCCCAGAUCUCAGUUCUCUUUCAGUGGAGCCUUGCUUAUCUUCCAGUCUACCUGUGUCCUGAUGCAGAGAUGCAGAAUUUCAGAUCAAUUCACAGAAAAGCUCUACGUAAGUCGUUCUGUGAAUUUACUGAAGCUAUAUUAUGAUGCAGGACAGAUGUUUAUUGUUCCC
rnacentral:lncRNA from 1 species